ACGGCUCUCUCCCUCUCUCGCUCGCUCUUUCUUUGCCUAGGCUGAGAAGAAGAGAAUUGCUGUGGGUGGGUGGGAGGCACGCCGGCUGUGACCUUACCCGUCCGCAGCAGCGGCAGUCGAUUCAUUCCCCCUCCCCCAUCACUGUGAAGUGAGAAGAAGCAACAAAACAAAGCAGAACAUAAAGAGGUGCAGCGGGAAGAUGUACCAUCAGCAGCACUGUAGUGCGUGCGUGUGUGUGCCACAUGAAGGCGACGGGGUGCAGAGACACACGAACGCCGCGGGCAAUGACGCGAGUGUGCUCCAUUUAGACGGUAGUGCGUCACGGUGUUUUUCCUCUCGGCGUCUUUCUUGUCUUCCUCUUCGUCUCUUUGUUUUUGUGGGGUCCAUGCGCCCGCGAACAGCGAGCCGGCAGAAGUCGAAGGAGGAAGUGGGCGAGGGGAAGCCUGUCAGCGGCGUAGUUCCGUGUCGCGCAGAGAGGGAGUACUGCGUAUCGCGACGUAAUGUCUUAACACUGUCUCCUCUUCUACGCACCUUCCUCCGAUACAUUCAACUCCCCUCUACCUCAUCUUACAUUUCUCCCGUACAUAUCACGCACGGCGUCGUGUGCCUUUCACUCCUCUUCCACACAUCGCGCACACACGCCCUUCCCUCGCCUUACGCGAUUCCGCUGUCUUCUCUCCUCGCGUGCAG
rnacentral:misc_RNA from 1 species